rnacentral:rRNA from 1 species
UACGGAGGGUGCGAGCGUUGUCCGGAAUCACUGGGCGUAAAGGGCGCGUAGGCGGCGCGAGGAGUCAACGGUGAAAGCUCGGCGCUCAACGCCGAGUCGGCCGUCGAUACUCCCGUGCUCGAGCACUGUAGAGGCAGGUGGAAUUCCGGGUGUAGCGGUGGAAUGCGUAGAGAUCCGGAAGAACACCGGUGGCGAAGGCGGCCUUCUGGACAGUGACUGACGCUGAGACGCGAAAGCGUGGGGAGCAAACAGG